AUACGCUACGCUGCCUCUCCAGGCGGGAGGACUUGGGGAUCUGCAGAGAAGGGAGCCUUUGCAGGUGUAGUGCUGAAGACCCGUUUACCAGGUUUUUUAAUCUGUGGGCCUCCACUCAGUCAUCGAUGGGAGAAGAUUUCGGUUGGAGCUGCUUUGGCUUACAAAGGUAAUUGUAGCUGUUUGUGGAGAAAGGCUGACCUUAUAACCCCUCACCAAUUUAUCCAGAGACUAAGUACCGUCCUUUGUCGUAUAGCUGCCAUAUACCUUUUUAAUGUGCAUUAUUUCAUAUUUGUUUUUUACCAGGUGAUAUUUAGAGACAAGGAUAAAGUGACAUUGAAUGUAAAAGAAGAAAGUAUUGGUAAAGAAAUAUUCAAGGAGGUGUGUUCAAGUGGAAGGGGACGAGGAUAAACCUGUGGCUGAUUCAUGCCGAUGUUUGGUAGAAAGUAACACAGUAGUGUAAAGCAAUUACCCUUCAAUUAAAAAUAAAUAAAUUUACCAAGAGACA
rnacentral:lncRNA from 1 species